CUGGACAGGCAGCCUCCGAAGAAAUCAAAGUCUUUGGGUUCCGGGGGAAGUAUGGUUGCAAAGCUGAAACUUAAAGGAAUUGACGGAAGGGCACCACCAGGAGUGGAGCCUGCGGCUUAAUUUGACUCAACACGGGAAACCUCACCAGGCCCGGACACCAAAAGGAUUGACAGAUUGAGAGCUCUUUCUUGAUUUGGUGGGUGGUGGUGCAUGGCCGUUCUUAGUUGGUGGAGCGAUUUGUCUGGUUAAUUCCGAUAACGAACGAGACUCUAGCCUGUUAACUAGCCUGUGGAUCAUUAAAAUUAUAAGCGGCGACGAAGCGUUCUUGGCCUUCGGGGCGCAUUCCGUGUAGUCGCGUCCACAGUGUCUUCUUAGAGGGACAGGCGGCGUUUAGCCGCACGAGACGGAGCAAUAACAGGUCUGUGAUGCCCUUAGAUGUCCUGGGCCGCACGCGCGCUACACUGAAGGAGUCAGCGUGCACUCCCAGCCCGAGAGGGCCGGGUAACCCGCUGAAAUUCCUUCGUGAUUGGGAUCGGGGUUUGCAAUUGUCCCCCGUGAACGAGGAAUUCCCAGUAAGCGCGAGUCAUGAGCUCGCGUUGAUUACGUCCCUGCCCUUUGUACACACCGCCCGUCGCUACUACCGAUUGAAUGAUUUAGUGAGGCCUUUGGACUGGCUCGCCGGUGCGUGUCACUUGUGGCAUCGUGCUGG
rnacentral:rRNA from 1 species